rnacentral:rRNA from 1 species
UGGGGAAUAUUGGGCAAUGGGCGAAAGCCUGACCCAGCAACGCCGCGUGAAGGAAGAAGGUUUUCGGAUUGUAAACUUCUUUUAUCAGGGACGAAGAAGUGACGGUACCUGAUGAAUAAGCCACGGCUAACUACGUGCCAGCAGCCGCGGUAAUACGUAGGUGGCAAGCGUUAUCCGGAUUUAUUGGGUGUAAAGGGUGCGUAGACGGGAGAUUAAGUUAGUUGUGAAAGCCCUCGGCUUAACUGAGGAAUUGCAACUAAAACUGGUUUCUUGAGUGCAGGAGAGGUAAGUGGAAUUCCUAGUGUAGCGGUGAAAUGCGUAGAUAUUAGGAGGAACACCAGUGGCGAAGGCGACUUACUGGACUGUAACUGACGUUGAGGCACGAAAGUGUGGGGGAGCAAACAGGAUU